rnacentral:lncRNA from 1 species
UGAGUCAUUAGGACAGAUGAGACUAAGAUUUGACAAAAACAACAUGCCCUUGGGUUAUAGCACAUGGAAAGGACCUUUAAGAUCACAAGCUCUAUUUGUUGAUGGAAAUGCAUGCAUAGGUACUUUUAACUCUAAGCUUUCAUUUUUUUUAGGUGAUAUUAGAUUCAAUAAUAAGUUGGUCUAGUGGUGUAAGAUGUCAUUAGCAGUGUUGUUAGAACUGGAUCGUACUUGAUGGUCUGACUGGAUUGACCGCUGACCGGACUUGAAAACGGUUUUGGUUUACCGUCUUACCGAGUGAGGGUUAAACCGCUUUGAACCUGGGAAAUUCUGGUCCGACCGUGUUAAACUCGGUUAAACCAGACUAAUAAGUGAAUUAAACCAAACGGUUCACUUAAAGAUUAAAAAAUUGAACUCUACUCUAAUCUUUUGUUUCACUUCAGUCCAAAAAAAAAAGAUGUUACUUCAAUGUAAUUAUACAUGAUUAUUAAUUAUAUAAAAUUUUACAUUUAUAUAAUUAUAUAUCUAUAGAUAAAAAGUAUUAAUUAUGUAUAAAAUCAUCUGAUCAAACCAUACGAUUUAACCGGUUAAACCUAAUACGAGACCUCUUCCGGUUUGACGUCCGGUUCGAGUUUCACAACAUUGGUCAUUAGAUCUCUGGAUAGACUAAAAAGGUUAAGAGUUCAAUUCUUGUGAGCAACAUAUGUUGAGAGGGAUAAUUAUGCACCCCGAAAGAGAUUAAUUCCUUACCAAUAGCGUAUAAGGUGAGGGAUACCCUUGGUCAUACCAACAAAAAGAUUCAAUAAUAAGGUGAGCCUCAACACAAUGAUAAGAUUGUUUGCCUUGUGACCCGAAAGUCAUUAGUUCAUAUCAUAGAAACAUACUCUUGGCUUGUGAGAGUAAGAUUUCUUACAUUUACCCUCCUCAGACCUUACAAGGUGAGAAUAAGAAACCGUUCAUUACAUUCAAGCUUCCAUUUUAAGAGUAAAGAAAGAAGUACCUUUUUAAUUGUAGGGUAGUUGACUUCCAAUAUUAUUAGAAAUGGAAACAAACUUUGAGUUCUUAACCUCAUUACUUUAUCCCUUCAACCCUUUUGUUACAAAGGAUGCAGAGAAUGUGUACACCAUGCAAGCAAUACAUUUACAAUGGAUGAAGCUCAUGGAUGUGCAAGGGUUAAAGUUCAAUAUGGAGACAAUGACCAAAAUAUUGAAUAUAUAUAUAUAUAUAUAUAUAUAUAUUUAUCUCUAUUUAUUCAUACAGAGGCAUUUAAAAAUGCAUCAAAAAAGUGAAAGUGUCCAUGUUUUGAUGUUUAAGAAUGUUUUUUCCCAUGACUAGAAUGAGAAAGUUGUUUCAACAUUGGUUGAUUUGAUGAUUGAUGAGAAAAAUAAGGAAAUAGUAGAUGUUUGAAAGAGACAUGAAGGCGAUAGGAGCACAUCUGCUGUCCUAUAAGUUGUGUCACUAGCCUGUUAUUGGUCGAAAAAAUCUAUUUAAGUUAAAAAAUUAAUAGUUAAUUAUUUUCCUGACCAAUCACAAUUGAUGACACAUGUAGUGACAUAACUUGUGGGACAACAAAUAUGUAUCCGAAGAUGAUAAGUACAUGAUGAGUUAAUGCAUCUUUGACUUUCAGGUGGCAAAUUGAAACCAUUCACCAUCCUAAGUCCUAACUAUAAUGCACCAUUAUUUCUUAUAAAUUAGAAGUGACAAGUAAAGGACUUAACUUAUAUAGGGUAUCAUAGGUAUUAAUGGGACACGUAAUCAAUAAUAAAUUGACAUUUAUACACUUUUCUAUUUCACCAAACUCAUACUGUUAACUCUGUUAACUCUUCAUUUUUUUUCAUUAUAAAUUUUAAUUUCAUUUCAUAUUUUAGGUUUCUAGUCUUCUUUUCCAUCAAUUUUAAGGAACAAUGUAUUAUGGUUUCAUUAUUUUAUCUAUUAUCAAUAUCCAUCUUCUCUUUAUAACCCUAAAAGGGUAAAAUGAUUUAUGCAAAGAAGUAAUAUAUAAAAUUUGAUGUAUUGACAUGUUAUUUCUAAAAUGGAGAGGAGAGGCAUGAACUUAAGUGAUUUUAUGUUAGUUUUGUCCCAAGUACAAUAGUUUAGCAUACAAAGAUCACAAGCAAUAUGGUAAUUUUACUUCACUGAACCAUGAGGUUCCUUAAAAUUAGGCUUAGUAUGGUUAUGAAAACAUGAUUGUAUUGGUUAGUUUGAUUGGAAAACCAAUGAGUCAGACCUUGUAUUGGUAUGGUACAACAAUUAUAUCGGUCAUGUAAUUAUAUUGGUCAAAAUUGGCUGGUAUGAUUAAAGUUAGAUAUUUGUAAAUGAGUCUUCUUAGUUUGAGCAUGAUUAGUAUGGCCUCAUUAGAUCUUCGGGAUAACCAAAAGAUUAAAAGUUCAAUUCCAGAGAGCGACACUUGUUGGGAGGGAUAAUCACACACCCAGAAAAAGAUUAGUUUCUUAUCCAAAAGGGUAAAAGAAUACUUUUGAUAGUACUAAAAAAAAUCACCUAAACACUAAUUUUCAAAGGCAUAGCAAAGGUGGUUAAUAAUGAUUGCAAUUGAUCUCUACAUUGGUAUAAAAGCUAUUUUAAAAUAAGUGCUUAACCAAUAUUACAAAGAAGCUAUAUCAUUCCACCCAUAUUCAUGAGCUCUAUUUUCCCAAAAAGCUGAAAGCCUAAGCUCUUCAAUGAGUUCUGCUUCUACUCUUUCCCUUGCUUUUUCACAAGUUUCCACACCCACAUUGCACUUUUCUGCUUCCUUUUGGUAUUGUGAAAAGGUUUUCUUUGUUUCUAUUAUUAACCUUUUGGUGUGUUCCAAUGUCUCAUUUGCUACAAUUUUCUGCAAGUUUAGCUCCUCAGAGAGCAUAGUUAGUAGAUCUUUCUUCACUUCCUCAUUUAUAACUGGAUCAUCUUUACCACAAACUGCAAGAUGAUCCAGUAGUAUAAGACUCUGUUAGAUCCCCAGAAAGAUAAAAAUGUCAACUAUUCAAGAUCACUAAUCAUUAAUCUAAACCAGUGUUUUAAAUUGCGGUUGUGGUCGCGAUUACUGCGAUUGCGGUCGUUGCGGUGUAAAUUAUUUUGUGAGUCAAAACAUAUUUUUCACAUCGAUGCGGUCUAAUGCGGCCCGAUACGAAGGCUUGAUGCGGUCAAAAUGUGGUUGGAUUGUGGCAGUCACUGUGAUUCAGUAUCAUACUCUAAUUGCGAUGUGAUAUGAUUGCGGCAGUCACUACAACUGCAUCAUGUGAUGUAGUCCGCAAUUUGACACACAUCUAAACCAAACAUGUAUGGAUUAUGGAUUGGAUUACAAAAAAUGAGAAUGCCUUGGCUAUAUUCAUUAAAAUGGUGACUCAAUAUACAAGACUCUCACUUAAUAAGGUAUGAGGAAAGUAUAUGUCCAUACCCUUACCCCAACACACAAAGAGACUGUUUUACGAAUUUAAACUCAUGACUUCAUGGUCACUAAACACUUACCUUAGCAUAGCGGCAGGAUCUGACUACAUUCAUUAUUUAUAAAAAAGAACAAUCUUGUAAUUUUUAUGUUAAUAGAGAAUUUUUUUUUUCCAAAAAGAAGAUUGCAACUUCAAGUAGCAGUACUCACUUUCUCUGCAACAUUUUUCCUAAUGUGCCAACUUCAGAUUGUGCACAUGCUAUGUAACAUAGAUAUUCUCUAUGCACAUGUUAUAUAAUCCUUAAUUUCCUCUUACAAAUUUAUAAUACAUCACUCAAUGUCUUGGAAAUAUAAAUAUUACUACAUAAUUUCUUUUCUGUUUCACUUGAAAACCAAGUUUGGUGCUUAAAUAAUAACUCAAAAAUAAAACUUACUAGAAAGAUCUAGAUAAGAUUCUUCAGGUGAAGAACAAUAGCACUCACAUGUAGAACAUGAAGGAGUAGUCUCUUUCAACUUCCACUUAGAUUUUGGUCCAACUAUGAAAACAAGGAAACAUAAACAUACCCAAAUCAAAAACCACCUCAAAAAUCAAUAGUGUUUGAUAUUUGAUGUAUACCCAAUAUUACACCUCACUUUUAAAAGUUAGGAACAUAUAUAUGGUAUGAAUUAAUAUAGUAUAUUAUUUGUUAUUUAUUUGGAUUACUUUUUUGAAUAAAUGAUGAUCAAAUAUUAACAAUGAAUAAUACACUGAUAAUAUAUAAAAGUUACGGGCGUGAAUGUGAGAGAAUACCUUAAUACAAAAGGAGUAUUAUGAUCAUUUAUCUUCAUUCAUGUCCCAUAUCCCGGUAAAGUGAAAAGAUAUGUUUUUUAUUUAUGAAACUUAAUAGUAAUGAGAAUUUGUUUCAGAAGAAUGUGGUGGAAUCUUGCAUUAUGAGAGUGAGGUUUGAGAAAGAAUGAAAAAAAUCCUUAGCAUAAGGUAGUUUUACCUUAACAUCUCAAUGUUUAUUCUAAAGAAAGCUAGGCUCCACAUAAAUAAAUAGAAUAUGAAAAUGGUCUAUAUUUAUUAUUCUAGCACCUAAUUAAAGAUUAUGAUAACUUGUUUUUAAUGAAGAUAAUUUAUUUACUUAUCAAUGGUGUUAUUGUUUCUCAUUGUUGAUAAAAGGAGUGAUAUAUUUUUUAAAUUAGAUUAAAAUUUUAAGAAUAUAAAAUCUAUCCUUAGAAGUUUAGCAUUAAAGUGGUAUAUAUGACCAACGAGUAUUGGUUCAAGUAGUACUUGCUUGAUUCCCUUUAAGCAAAAUCUCGGGUUCGACUCUUGUGGAUGAAAAAAAUAUCUUCUAAAAGAGUUAGCCCCACAUACCUGUUGUGGAUGUUUCUGACUAGGACAAAUGUCUCUCCAAUGCGAGAAUACUUGUAGGAAAUCAAAAAAUGUUCUAUAUGUGUAUCUUCAACUUUAGAGGUUCUAUCAAUGGUCUAUUUCAUGUAAAUCAUGUUUCCAAAUGGGACCAUCUUCUUAAAAUAUCUCUUUUUGUGUUUCUAAUUUCAACUCAUGUCAUGAGAAAUAUCUUCUUGAAAAUAGCUAUAUCUUAGAGAACUCACUUCACAAACUACCAUCAUAAGAAUUAUGUGUGGAAACUAUUUCUUAUCUUGCUCAAUGUCUUCUCAAGUUCAUGCCCAUAUUAAUUUCAAAGUCCCUAUGUCAAGGUAUUACUUUCCAAAAAAUGUUUUACAUCAUGAUUUACCUUUGCUUUUGUGAUGCAUUUUUAAGUUCUUAUAUACAAAUAAUAUAAAAAAAUAACAUAGAUAAACAUAAAGGUAUUUGAUGCUUAAAUAUGAGUUUAGAAUUUUGUUGUAUAAAGGGCGGAUUCAUCAUAGGACCAUGUAGAAAAUUGGCAUAUACUAGUAUAACAACUAAGCCUUUAUCUCACUAGGUGAAAUCGACUACAUUGAUUCAACGAUGUCAUAAUGCUUUAUUAUACCAAACAUAAUUUUAUUCGGUUUUCUAUGUGCCUUGUCACAUGAACAUAUAUACUAUAAUGUUUUAAUUGGUUUCUAAUCUUACAAUAUUUUAACUUACCCCUUUUGAAGAUUGAAGCAAAAUUUCACCAUAGUCAAAUGUUGUAAUAGAAGAUCAUGGGAGAAACCAAGAGCUCAAAUUAAUUACUAUGAGUUGCUUGGAAUUUCUGUUGAUUCAAAUUCUAAGAAAAUCAAAGAAGCUUAUAGGAAGCUGCAAAAGAAAUAUCAUCCAGAUAUUGUUGGCCCAAAGGUCAUUUCUCACUUCACUUUAAUUCAAUCCAAACACAGUUUCUCUCUUACAAUUUGUAUUACUUUAUGUGCGUCGACUGUGAUUGAUCAGAAAAGUAUUUAGUAAUCAUAUUUUUAUCUUAAAUACAUUUUCUUCAAUCAAUCAUAAUUGAUAAUAUAUGGAGUGACACAAAUUAUGGAACAAUAGAUACGUUCCUGCCAAAAAAAAAUUGUUUAUGGAUGUAAUUUGGUAAUCUUUUAUCAUAUGGAUAUUGAUUUUGUGCAUUGUAUUGGUCUACUUUUAGGGUCAUGAGUAUACUCUAAUGCUAAAUAAGGCUUAUGAAGUUCUAAUGAAAGAGGACUUGAGGAGAAAAUAUGAUGAGUCAUUAGGACAGAUGAGACUAAGAUUUGACAAAAACAACAUGCCCUUGGGUUAUAGCACAUGGAAAGGACCUUUAAGAUCACAAGCUCUAUUUGUUGAUGGAAAUGCAUGCAUAGGUACUUUUAACUCUAAGCUUUCAUUUUUUUUAGGUGAUAUUAGAUUCAAUAAUAAGUUGGUCUAGUGGUGUAAGAUGUCAUUAGCAGUGUUGUUAGAACUGGAUCGUACUUGAUGG